CCUGCCCCCAGCUGCAGGUGCAGCUGCUGUGUCACGUGUGCCUCGGUAGGCGGCUGAGAGGAGAGAGGCUGUGUCUACACUCAGUGUUCUGACAGUGUGAACAUCUGACAGAUUGGUAGUCUAACAUU